GACGAACGCUGGCGGCGUGCUUAACACAUGCAAGUCGAACGGAAAGGCCCUGCUUUUGUGGGGUGCUCGAGUGGCGAACGGGUGAGUAACACGUGAGUAACCUGCCCUUGACUUUGGGAUAACUUCAGGAAACUGGGGCUAAUACCGGAUAGGAGCUCCUGCCGCAUGGUGGGGGUUGGAUAGUUUCGGCGGUUGGGGAUGGACUCGCGGCUUAUCAGCUUGUUGGUGGGGUAGUGGCUUACCAAGGCUUUGACGGGUAGCCGGCCUGGGAGGGUGACCGGCCACAUUGGGACUGAGAUACGGCCCAGACUCCUACGGGAGGCAGCAGUGGGGAAUAUUGCACAAUGGGCGGAAGCCUGAUGCAGCAACGCCGCGUGCGGGAUGACGGCCUUCGGGUUGUAAACCGCUUUCGCCUGUGACGAAGCGUGAGUGACGGUAAUGGGUAAAGAAGCACCGGCUAACUACGUG
rnacentral:rRNA from 1 species